AUCCAGAUGACUGACUAGUCCCAAACAGGACGAAAUGUACAUCCUGGAU
rnacentral:hammerhead_ribozyme from 1 species